rnacentral:rRNA from 1 species
GAGGAAUAUUGGUCAAUGGGCGAGAGCCUGAACCAGCCAUCCCGCGUGCAGGAUGACGGCCCUACGGGUUGUAAACUGCUUUUCCGCGCCAAGAAUGGUUCCGACGUGUCGGGAUUUGACGGUAGCGCGGGAAUAAGCACCGGCUAACUCCGUGCCAGCAGCCGCGGUAAUACGGAGGGUGCAAGCGUUAUCCGGAUUUAUUGGGUUUAAAGGGUGCGCAGGUGGGAAUGUAAGUCAGUGGUGAAAUUCUGCCGCUCAACGGUAGGACUGCCAUUGAUACUGCGUUUCUUGAGUAUGGUUGAGGUAGGCGGAAUGUGUCGUGUAGCGGUGAAAUGCAUAGAUAUGACACGGAACGCCGAUUGCGAGGGCAGCUUACUAAGCCAUUACUGACACUGAGGCACGAAAGCGUGGGUAGCGAAC